GAUGAACGCUGGCGGCGUGCCUAAUACAUGCAAGUCGAGCGAACAGACGAGGAGCUUGCUCCUCUGACGUUAGCGGCGGACGGGUGAGUAAAACGUGGAUAACCUACCUAUAAGACUGGGAUAACUUCGGGAAACCGGAGCUAAUACCGGAUAAUAUAUUGAACCGCAUGGUUCAAUAGUGAAAGACGGUUUUGCUGUCACUUAUAGAUGGAUCCGCGCCGCAUUAGCUAGUUGGUAAGGUAACGGCUUACCAAGGCGACGAUGCGUAGCCGACCUGAGAGGGUGAUCGGCCACACUGGAACUGAGACACGGUCCAGACUCCUACGGGAGGCAGCAGUAGGGAAUCUUCCGCAAUGGGCGAAAGCCUGACGGAGCAACGCCGCGUGAGAGAUGAAGGUCUUCGGAUCGUAAAACUCUGUUAUUAGGGAAGAACAAAUGUGUAAGUAACUAUGCACGUCUUGACGGUACCUAAUCAGAAAGCCACGGCUAACUACGUG
rnacentral:rRNA from 1 species